CUUGCUUUCUUUGCUGGCGACCGGCGCACGGGUGAGUAACACGUAUCCAACCUGCCCUUUACUCGGGGAUAGCCUUUCGAAAGAAAGAUUAAUACCCGAUAGCAUAAUGAUUCCGCAUGGUUUCAUUAUUAAAGGAUUCCGGUAAAGGAUGGGGAUGCGUUCCAUUAGGUUGUUGGUAAGGUAACGGCCCACCAAGCCUUCGAUGGAUAGGGGUUCUGAGAGGAAGGUCCCCCACAUUGGAACUGAGACACGGUCCAA
rnacentral:rRNA from 1 species